AUGUUACUACUGCAAGUUUUUUUUGUUGCUUCAGUAGUUUGGUCUUAUGGAGAGGCCCAAGUACUGGUACAAUCUCAACUAUCCCUCACCAGGGUAGAAGAUAAAACUGCACGAAUUGACUGUCGUGUUUCUGGCAUAACCUUCAGCAGUGCUUACAUACAUUGGUAUCGACAGAAACGUGAUGCAGCUCCAGAACGGAUUCUCUAUUUAUCAUCAGGAAAGCCUGUCUUUGACCAGGAUUAUGAGAAGGCAAAGUAUGAAGCAGAAAAGCAGCUCUCAGAGUCAAACUGUGUCCUAACAGUAAAGAAAAUAACCAAGAGUGAUGCAGCUAUCUAUUACUGUGCCGUUUGGGACCACACAGUAUUAGAAAAAUCUUCACAUUCUGUACAAAAACCUAUUUGGUGUUCUCAAGAAUAG